AUGCUCACUUUGGAGCACAUAUACUAAAAGUAGAAUGAUACAGAGAUAAGCAUGGUUUCUGUGCACGGAUGACAUACAAUUUCACAAAGCAUCUCAUAUAUUU
ensembl:snRNA U6 U6 spliceosomal RNA